CUUUUCCCACUUGGAGGGCGAAGGGGAUUCCCCAGCCCUGUGCAAACCAAAGGGCUGCGGCCGUCUCGUUCCCUUGGGUUACCCGGGGCAGAAGGGGCGAAGCCGCAAGGGCCGGUCCCAGGAGGGGCGGACAGCUAGACCUUCUGCUUUGCCCAUCCUUGGACUGUGCCCUGCUGGUGCCCGCCUGAGGGCUUAACGGAGAAGCUUCCACCCCAUUUUUCAAGCAGAACCCCAGCGGGAGCCUGGUUCAGGGACUGGUUCUCCCAGCUCUUUGACUCUCCGGUCGCUUCAGCGCCAGCUUCCGCACGCUUCUGCAAAAGGCUUCGGGCCCCCGCUGGGAUGCUUCCUCCGGUUGCUCUGACCCUGCCUUCUCCCCCCCUGCAAGGACGCCCUGGGGAACCUGAGGCGAAGCUCCUCCUUCUCCCGGUUCCGCGAGUCCAUCAAGCGUGGCAGCGAGAAACUGGUCUCCAAGCUCAGAGGGGAAGGCGUUCGCCGCCCCAGCCCUGCUGCGGCCCCAGGGAUGAAGAGGGCCACCUCCCUCAACAUGCUGCACGUCGGUGAGCGAGCGGCUGCGCUUUCUGCGUCCCCCGCGCAGCCCGCCUGGAACCCGGCCAGCGCCCGCACACUGAGCUCCAGCACGCAGGACCUCACGCACAGCCGCUCCACCUAGGAGCUCCCUGGCCCCGCCCGGCCCUGCGAGACCGGCGCCCGACCUUGUCUGCUUCAGCUCAGCCAGCGCCAGCCUUCGCCGUGGCUCCCAGGGCUCCCGGAACAGGACUGGCUGCUCCCCGGGGCCCAGCGGAGCCCCCGGCCUGGCACCUCCGCGGAGCUAUCGGCACCCUGGCGCCUGAGGGCUGCCGCCUGCCCGGAGCAAACCCUGCGGCCCGCCGGAGGUGCGACCAGGAUGCGAAGCGCCCAGCGCCAAGGAGAAGCGACUGCGGCUGCCCAGGACGCUGGAGAGCGGCCCGCGGCCCUUGCAGGAACAGCAAGUCGGUCGGUGCUGCCGCCGCUGCCUUAAGCCAUUUGCCAGGUAACCUGCACUUUUCUGUCCCCGUCCUGGCAGAAGAAGCGCUGCUGCCCCUGCAGCCAGGAGCCUAUUUAUUCUAUUUAUGCAACCGGGAGCUGAACCCUCCCUCCACCCCAAUAAAUGGAUGUAAUUUGAUGCUGACUCGCUUGGAUCCUUGUGAGCAAAUGCAGAGGUGAUUCAGGCUUAAAAACCCUGCAGGGUGAUGGAAAGAGAAAAUCAAUUUCUUUUUGGGUUCACGUUAACGCGGCCGCAGACCGAACAGAGCCGACACGCUCAUCCUUCGCGAC
rnacentral:lncRNA from 1 species